rnacentral:rRNA from 1 species
UACGGAGGAUCCGAGCGUUAUCCGGAUUUAUUUGGUUUAAAGGGUGCGUAGGUGGUUUUAUAAGUCAGCGGUGAAAGUUUGCAGCUUAACUGUAAAAAUGCCGUUGAAACUGUAAGACUUGAGUGUAAAUGAGGUAGGCGGAAUGCGUGGUGUAGCGGUGAAAUGCAUAGAUAUCACGCAGAACUCCGAUUGCGAAGGCAGCUUACUAAGCUACAACUGACACUGAAGCACGAAAGCGUGGGGAUCAAACAGGAUUAGAUACCCUGGUAGUCCACGCAGUAAACGAUGAUUACUAGCUGUUUGCGAUACACAGUAAGCGACACAGCGAAAGCGUUAAGUAAUCCACCUGGGGAGUACGCCGGCAACGGUGAA